CAUUAGGUGGCUGAAAGUAAGCAACGGAAUUUUAAACCGUCCUAUAAUAAAUAACGACUAUUCCUAAUG
rnacentral:tRNA from 1 species